rnacentral:rRNA from 1 species
CCUACGGGAGGCAGCAGUGGGGAAUAUUGGGCAAUGGGCGCAAGCCUGACCCAGCAACGCCGCGUGAAGGAAGAAGGCUUUCGGGUUGUAAACUUCUUUUCUGAGGGACGAAGAACGUGACGGUACCUCAGGAAUAAGCCACGGCUAACUACGUGCCACCAGCCGCGGUAAUACGUAGGUGGCAAGUGUUAUCCGGAUUUAUUGGGUGUAAAGGGGGCGCAGACGGCAAUGCAAGCCAGGAGUGAAAGCCCGGGGCCCAACCCCGGGACUGCUCUUGGAACUGCAUGGCUGGAGUACAGGGGGGGCAGGCGGAAUUCCUAGUGUAGCGGUGAAAUGCGUAGAUAUUAGGAGGAACACCGGUGGCGAAGGCGGCCUGCUGGACUGUGACUGACGUUGAGGCCCGAAGGCGUGGGGAGCAAACAGGAUUAGAUACCCCGGUAGUC